rnacentral:tRNA from 1 species
GCGCACAUAGCUCAGUCGGUAGAGCAUUUGACUUUUAAUCAACAGGUCGUAGGUUCGAUCCCUACUGUGCGCA